CCUACGAGAGGCAGCAGUGGGGAAUAUUGGUCAAUGGGCGGGAGCCUGAACCAGCCAAGCCGCGUGAGGGAAGAAGGUACAGCGUAUCGUACACCUCUUUUGUCAGGGAACAAAGGCGGGGACUAGUCCCCGGAUGAGGGUCCCUGACGAAAAAGCAUCGGCUAACUCCGUGCCAGCAGCCGCGGUAAUACGGAGGAUGCGAGCGUUAUCCGGAUUUCUUGGGGUUAAAGGUUGCGCAGGCGGCCUGUUAAGUCAGCGGUAAAAGCCCGGGGCUCAACCCCGGCGAGCCGGUGAAACUGGCGGGCUGGAGUUGGAGAGAAGUACGCGGAAUGCGCGGUGUAGCGGUGAAAUGCUUAGAUAUCGCGCAGAACCCCGAUUGCGAAGGCAGCGUACCGGCUCCACACUGACGCUGAGGCACGAAAGCGUGGGUAUCGAACAGGAUUAGAUACCCUAGUAGUC
rnacentral:rRNA from 1 species